CUGCCCUUAUGGGAGUGUUUGGAGGCUCAGCACCAGAAGCCGAAGGGACAUAAGACUCUAUAAAGCAAAUGUUUGUGGAUAUUUCUGUAUAUACUGAAUGCUCAUGGGACUGUUACAGUCAUCUGGCCUCAUCGUGUGGCAAAUCCAGAAUACGAUGGCUGAACAAGAGUUCAACAGACUUGGUACUUCAGCAGGAGCUGCAAAGCUAACUGAAAGCAUACAAGAAAAGGAAGAGAUGACCUAUCUUUCUAUAUGCACCCUUUCCUCUCCGCUGGCUGUAGGAGCCAAGACAUACAGG
rnacentral:lncRNA from 1 species